UACGUAGGUGGCAAGCGUUUGUUCGGAAUUAUUGGGCGUAAAGGGCGCGUAGGCGGCCACCGCAAGUCGACUGUGAAAUCUCCGGGCUUAACCCGGAAAGGUCAGCCGAUACUGCGGGGCUAGAGUGCAGAAGGGGCAACUGGAAUUCUCGGUGUAGCGGUGAAAUGCGUAGAUAUCGAGAGGAACACCUGCGGCGAAGGCGGGUUGCUGGGCUGACACUGACGCUGAUGCGCGAAAGCUAGGGGAGCGAACGGG
rnacentral:rRNA from 1 species